GAUGAACGCUGGCGGCGUGCCUAAUACAUGCAAGUAGAACGCUGAAGGAGGAGCUUGCUCUGCUGGAUGAGUUGCGAACGGGUGAGUAACGCGUAGGUAACCUGCCUGGUAGCGGGGGAUAACUAUUGGAAACGAUAGCUAAUACCGCAUGACAACAGUUAUUGCAUGAUAACUGUUUAAAAGGGGCAACUGCUCCACUACCAGAUGGACUUGCGUUGUAUUUGCUAGGUGGUGGGGUAACGGCUCACCAAGGCGACGAUACAUAGCCGACCUGAGAGGGGGAACGGCCAACCUGGGAAUGGGACACGGCCCAGACUCCUAAGGGAGGCAGCCGUAGGGGAUCUUUGGCCAUGGACGGAAGUCUGAACGCGCAACGCCGCGUGAGUGAAGAAGGUUUUCGGAUCGUAAAGCUCUGUUGUGAGAGAAGAACGGGUGUGAGGGUGGAAAGUUCACGCUGUGACGGUAUCUUACCAGAAAGGGACGGCUAACUACGUG
rnacentral:rRNA from 1 species